CCUUCUCAUUAAUGUGAGACUCUAGUGAAGUUGAAUGGUUCAUGGGAAUUACUAAAACACCCCACCAUGUGAUCCAUAUCUGCUUGAAAACAAGAUGUAAAAAACUUGGAUUGACCCCAUCUUGAAUCAGAGGCAUUAAAAGCUCUACAAUUUGAAUUGACCACACAUUUGUUAACAACGAUUCUGGACCUAUCAGUGACCCACUCACCAUGGCAAUGGAAUCUACAGUGAUGUGCUGAUCUCGAUUGUGAUAUCAGCAAAUUGGGAUUGAGAUUUUUCAUAUAUAUAGAAGAAACAUAAUGUCCGUCAAAUGAACACAAUAGACUAAACACCUUAUCAAUUCAAAGGGAAAGACAUAUGAAAGUGGCAAUGGAUUCCUUGCUGCCUGGAGUUGAAGAGGACUCCACUCUGAUAAUCAGGGGAGGAAACAAUGAGGAAGAACUGAAUAUGGAGAGAAAGGAGGGAGCGUAACCGGUGACUUGACGAUCCGGUUUAUUACUAUUACUUUUUAAUCUUUAUAUCAGUGUCAAGAUUUGCCACAAACGCAUGAUGCUUGUCUACAGCACCAGAAGAUCCCACCUUUUAAGUCCAUAGAAGCUCAAAGCUCCACCGUUGCGCAGCAAAAUAGGAAACUUGAGUCCAUGUCAGACAGCUGCAAUUCUCGCCACUUCUCGUGGCUAAUGAAAUCUUGCUUCCCCAACCCACAAGACACCAACAAAUCUCUCUCUCCAAAUCCCAUUCAACCCAUCACUAUCUCCCCUUCCUCCUCCACCACCCUCUGCUCUCUCCCUGAUGACCUUCUCUUAGAAUGCCUCUCCAGGGUCCCCUCUGCCUCCCUCCCUUCUCUCUCCCUUGUCUGCCGCCGGUGGUCCUACCUCCUUCGAUCCCCAUCUUUCCUCUCCCUUCGCCGCCUUCAUAACCUCCUCCACCCUACUGUCUUCGCCUUCUCUGCGUCCGAUUCUGGCGUCUUUGCUGCCUCUCUUCGCUUCCAAGAUGAUCAAAUCAACAUCCAUGGACUGGGGAAGGUUGCUUCGUGUCUUCCAUUUCAAAUUGCUUCACUGGAUAAUAUUUCUCAUUCCCGAUUGUCUGCAAUUGGACCCAGAAUCUACAUUAUUGGGCGGAAUGGAUUGCUUUGUUAUGAUACUUGGAGCGGCACUGUUUCUCUCAGGUCUGCUAUGAUUUUUUCCAGGAAGAAAUUCGCCAGCGCCGUAGUCUCUGGCAAAAUCUACGUAGCCGGAGGUGGAUCACGGGUGGCAACGGCGGUUGAGGAGUAUGACCCAGAAAGCGAUACAUGGACAGUGGUGGCACACGCUCCCAGGAGGAGAUUUGGAUGCAUUGGGGCAGCCGUUGAUGGUGUCUUCUAUGUAAUUGGAGGAUUGAAAAUUGGUGGAGUGACCGGAAAUGAAUUCUCACGCUUGGCCACGGCGGGGGCAGAAGCUCAUGUGUAUGCAAGCACAAUGGACUUGUACGAUGUGGAGGCAGGUGUGUGGCUUAGGAGCCGAGCGGUUCCCGGAGGCGGGUGUGUGGUGGCAGCAUGUGCAGCAGCAGGGCAUGUUUACAUUUUAGCUAGCCACGCAGUGGAGCUGUCAUUUUGGCGAUUUGACGCUCGUAGACAAACCACCGGCGGCGGUGGAUUCGGGGAGUGGUGUAGGAUGAAGAGCCCUCCACUGCCAGCUCAAGUUAGACUAGACAGUAUAGUGAGGUUCAGCUGCGUAGGAGUGGAAGACAAGGUGGUGCUGAUUCAAGUUAAUGGUUGCAUUGACGAUUUGUUGAGGAGGAGUGGAAGAAAUAUCAGAGGAUUAAGGGAAGGAUUGAUAUUGGUUUACGAUUCUAGCCGUGGAGAGUGGAGUAGGGGCCCGGAUCUGCCGGGAGUGAUUCGACGCGCCGCCUGUGUGACUGUGGAAUGCUGAGGGGGCGUAAUUUUGACUAAAUUGAGCCGAGAAAGCAGGUGCAUGUUAGGGAAAGCUUGCAUUAUGGAGGCUAACUUGCGCAAAUAGAUGUCGUUUUGGUAGCAGACAACAAUGAUCAAUGUAACAUGUGUUUGAUUGCCAUUUACGAUAAAGAUAAAGCGAAGCCUCGGGGCACAUAUGGUCUGAUUUUUUUUUUUUUAAUUAAAAAUGGUGUUGAUUGGUGUAUUUUAUUUUUUUAAUUAUAUUUAUAAUAAUAAGAAAAGGAAAAAGGUCGGUGGGAAUCAUAGAUUUGUCCAAUUGGAUGGAGAGGUUGACCUCAUGCUCAUGUGCUCCUAUAAUUAGGGUCUUUAUUCACAUAUUAUAAUUAUGAGACGUUGGAUUCCUUUUUUGUUUUAAUUUGAAUUUAUAUGACUUUCUUUCUUUCUUUCCAUAAUUAGAAUUGGGAUGGAAGUUGAAGAAACAUUUGUAAAUGAGAAGCUUUCCAUUUCACUUUCUGGUUUUUUUUAAGA
rnacentral:misc_RNA from 1 species